rnacentral:rRNA from 1 species
UGGGGAAUAUCGCACAAUGGGCGCAAGCCUGAUGCAGCAACGCCGCGUGAGGGACGACGGCCUUCGGGUUGUAAACCUCUUUUGGCAGGGAAGAAGCGAAAGUGACGGUACCUGCAGAAAAAGCACAGGCUAACUACGUGCCAGCAGCCGCGGUGAUACGUAGGGUGCAAGCGUUGUCCGGAAUUAUUGGGCGUAAAGAGCUCGUAGGCGGUUUGUCGCGUCUGCUGUGAAAACCCGAGGCUCAACCUCGGGCCUGCAGUGGGUACGGGCAAACUAGAGUGCGGUAGGGGAGAUUGGAAUUCCUGGUGUAGCGGUGGAAUGCGCAGAUAUCAGGAGGAACACCGAUGGCGAAGGCAGAUCUCUGGGCCGUAACUGACGCUGAGGAGCGAAAGCAUGGGG